CAGUAGCCGCGGGAAUACAGAGGAUGCAAGCGUUAUCCGGAAUGAUUGGGCGUAAAGCGUCUGUAGGUGGCUUUUCAAGUCCGCCGUCAAAUCCCAGGGCUCAACCCUGGACAGGCGGUGGAAACUACCAAGCUGGAGUACGGUAGGGGGCAGAGGGAAUUUCCGGUGGAGCGGUGAAAUGCGUUGAGAUCGGAAUGAACACCGACGGCGAAAGCACUCUGCUGGGCCGACACUGACACUGAGAGACGAAAGCUAGGGGAGCAAAUGGGAUUAGAUACCCGGGUAGUCCCUGUCUCUUAUA
rnacentral:rRNA from 1 species